UUCUGUAGGCUUCGCGGAGGGCGGGAGUGAUGCUUCGGCCGCUCCCGGAAUGGGGCAGGUACGAGGGGACAGACGGGUAGGCUGCUGCGUGGCAACAACCAGUGCUGUUGGGUAGAGGAAAGGAUGCUCCUGGAGUGCAGGGAGAACGGGCACCCUCUGAAGUUCAUUCACAACACGGAGAGAACCAGAGUGCAGACUUCGUGACUUAGGCAGCCUGGAAACCACCAUUCUACUUUCUGUCUGUAUGAAUUUGAUUAUUCUACGAACAAUGAAGUUCGCGAGUUCAUCCAAGAAAAAGUGCUCCAUACCUCAUUGCUGAAUAUCACUAUGUAUAUUGCACCCCCCUUGGGAAGUACUCCCCUUGGGAAGCUGUGCGCCGACCGAUGC